GUCGAACGGCGCUGUGUUGCGACGGGACCAUGCCGCCGCGCCCUGCACCACCGAUCAACCGAUCUCAGGUACGCGAGACACAUUAUCAUUCCCGAGAUAUCGAUACAUUUCAUUACAGAGAGGCCAUUCCUUCCCGUACGAAUGAACGUGGUUCCGGUGUUUUCGCAUCUUUUCCUUUAUCUCGGCUGGUGAUUCGGAGAAACGUGUAUAUUUUCAACGUAGAUCGCGUCUCACGAGAGUGAGAUAAAUCCGUUUCUCGUGAGUUGCUGCUUCUUCUCUCCUCUUUGAUAAUUGAUAAUUUGUGCUGUUUCGUGUGUUCGUUCUUCUUGUAAAAAAAAAAAAAAGAAAGAAAACGUUCAGAUAUCGUGAUUAGAAAAGAGAGAGAAAAAGAGAGAGUGUGCGAGGAAACUUUGUUUUUCCUGUUCGUCGUUUUUCACUGCACUUUCUGUUAUGAUUUUGGUGCGGUUUAGUGGAAGGAGCGAAGGAGCCACGCGAGGGAGAAACAAUCUCGAGUUUUUUUGGUGAAACUUGUUGUUCGUUACGUAUCCUCGUGUGGAUACGACACGAGGAUCGAUCCUGGCAUCGAUCCUACGAUCCUAUACGUGGAAAGAGAAGAGAUUUAGAAUACGUUUACCGUUUUCCUUGUUCCAUGGGAUUAGUUACGCGUGAUCAUCGGCCGGCUAUCGAUUAUAAAAAAAAAUAGAAGAAACCGAAGAGAGAAAGAUUAUUAUCAAUAUAGGAAGAUGCGUCUCCAGUCCUCUUUUCUUUUUUCUUUUUUUCUUCUUCCAAGAGAUGCUUCCUUUUGAACACCCGCUUGACAUUCGUGUAAUAUAAUACCAUCGACCUUCGAAUACAUCCACUUAAAAUAGUUUCGAUCGAGUCUUCGAAAAAAGACCAUCAACGGAACUCGAAAACGUGAUGUCUUAAUCCAUCGAGGGAAUCGAGAUAGAAAGCGAGAGAGAAAGUGAGAGAGAAAAAGAGGUGUUGUUUGCCUYUGGAGGGCUUUCACGGAGCUAUCUCACCGAAGGGGGAUGGGAAAAUACUUUUUGGCGGAGAAUAUGAAGUGAAUCCUUGAUCAGUUUCCGACUUUUUGCUUACUCUCGUUAUGCGUUUUUGUGUGUAAGCAUCAUGACAAAGCCAUGUAAAAUAAUUAAAAUAGUUUUGUGCGUCCGUCGGUUUUCUCGCGUGUGCUUAUGUGCGCGUAUACAUAUAUAUGUAUACAUAUAUAUAUAUAUAUGUAUAUACGUCGAAGAUCAAAGAAACGCAAAAAGAUUGUGCUACGGAUUACCAGCAUGUUCAUAAAGGGAUGCUUUUGAUAAAGGCGCCGCUUAGGCGAGACACGGUUUACUUCAUUUUCACGCCGGUGGGGACCGAUAUUUUUCACCCUCCCCCCUCCCCCGUUUAAUGCUGGUCUCUCUUUGCCUAAGUGCAUACCGCGUGGCCGACCUUGUUUUAAACGGAGCCUCAUUAAUUAAAAAAAGAAAAAGAAUAUAUAUAUACACGUAAUAGUACACGCAGAGGCUGUGCACUAUUGAAAUAUUUGUCUCGAGUUCUUCAGAGAAUGGCUACAUUAUUGGCAGGAAGUUUUGUUGUUGGCCCAUUCCUCCGCAAUUUCACUGAAGUAGGCAGUUUGCGUUUCAGUGGGCUCUGUUCGACGCUCUUGGUGCCUCGGCGAAAAGUUAAAUUAAUGGAAAAUGAAGGGAACAGAAUUCAUUGAAAAGUUGAAGUAUUUAGUCGAUCGCUUAAAGAUAUUGGUUUUCUUCUGGAUCGAGGAAAGUAGGAUGAGUCACCUCCCUCCGUAUAACUUUCUUACACUCUUCUAACCAUAAAUAAUAAUCGCGUCUCGAGGGUAGGAAAAUAAUAGAAUUAAGUUAAUUAGGUAUGCCAAGUAACAAUCCGUUCUCGAUGAACGGAAUCGGUUUUCUCGGAGCCGAUCAAUCGAAGCGCCGUAAGUUGCUCAAACUGUUCUUUAAACGCGGACCGAUUUAAUUCCGUGCUAUUUCUCAAGAACGCGAUCUAUAUUCCUGAUGACGCAUCGACGUGAUGGAAAACCGUUUUCUUCGUUCUCCUCGCCUCGUGACGAGGAAAAAAGAAGAAAAAGCGACACGCUGAAAUAAUAGAAAAUGUGGAACAUCUCGGAGGUAGUAAUGUCAUAAGGAAAAUACACAUGUAGAACGAUAUAUAUAUUAAAGUAGAUUUAUUGUCGUUUAAAAUACACGAGACCAAUUAUUGUUAACCAUCUAACACGUCUCUCAUUGGUACAAACUCUCUUUAUUAUCAAACUUUGCGAGAAAUUUUGUAUCCACUAACCAAACUACUAAAUUCUACCACGUGUACAGUUUAAACAUUAACCGUUCGAAUUCUAUUGUUCGUCAAUCGUUAUUUUCCUUUCGUGAUCACGGAAUCAGAAGAAACGAGUACACGUUUCGAGGGAACGUGAGAAGCGACGACGAAAACAAAAACACGUGAGAAGAAAAGGGAGUGGAAGAAAGGAAAAGGAACAUCUUGCAGCGUUCCUUUUUUUUCGCCUCGUUGUGCUUUGGAGCUCGCGAUACGCACGUCUGGCACGUCUAUCUCGAGCACGAGCACGGAAUAGAUAUAUCAUUGUUAUGGGUUGAAAUAUUUUUCGUUGACGGGAAAUAAUGCUACCAUUUUGUCUCGUUAGCUGACAAUUCUUGUACCUAUUCUUGCGUGUCACGGGAUUUUAUACCGGCCAGGAUUAAUGGUAUAGAAAGAGGAGAUAUUUUUCGGUUAACCAAUCGCGGAGACUGUAUUCCGCGAAACAAACUUUAGUUCUUCCAGCGGCAUUGCUUAAAAAGGGGGAAAAAAAAGUUAGUGGAAAGGAGAGAAACAAUGGUUUCAAUCGAUAACUGGAAACUUUUCUUGGUCAUUUCUGCUUUGCUUCCUCUUUUAAAUUUCGCCAGAUAAAUUCUAUAUCAGUGAGAAAACUAUUGUAGGAGUUAAUAUUCGAUUGCGUCCUUUGUUCUAUGAAAUUUUAUUACUUUUUUUCGAAAGGGGAUAGGGAAAGGAGAGAAACGAUGGUUUCGUGUGAAAAUGGUUUCUUUUCAUUUGAGAUCAUCAUCAGAAAAUCGGUAUAUCAGUAAGUAAAAUAUUGUAGAGAAACAUUAAUUGCUGUUGUUUGAUUAAAAAUCAUGUUUCUUGUUUGUCGUUUAUUUCUAUUUUCAAAAAGAGAUAGGGGAAUCUUAUCUUAAAUCUUCGUCAGCCAUAUCGGCGAAAAACAAUUGUGGGUAUUGAUGUUUGACGAACAUUGUGUCUAUUCUAGAGUUUUAUUACUAUUUUCAAAAAUAGAUAGGGGAGAAAGGAGCAUCCGAUAUGAAAUUUGGUCAUUCAUAUUUUGAUCAUCACAUUGACGAUAGUGAACGUGAAAAAUCAUAUUGUUUUUUGUCUUUCGAAAUUUUAUUAUUUUUUUGAACAUGAAUAGAGAAAGAAAAGAGAGAAGAACAAUGAUUUUAAAUUGACAUGAAACUUUUCUUGCACGUUUGUACCUGAUUCUCCUGAUUUUAAAUCUCAUCAGAAGAUUGUCAUAUAGAUAAAAAAAACUAUUGUAAGGAUUGAUGUUUGGUAAAAAUCAUCUUCUUCAUUUAAAUGCAUUUAUAUAAACUUGUCCAAGUGCAAUAUUUUCUCUAGAAUGUAUAAUAAUCAUUAAAUAUUAUAAAUUUGGAAACAAUUUUACAGGCAUAAUAAUUAAUAGAAAUUUAUUUUUUAUCAUCAGAUAUAAUUUAUAUUUGUAAUUAUAUUACAACGAGUAAUUGAUUAUAAUUGAGAUAAUAGGAAUUCAGUGAUCAUAUACUUAAAUGAAAUCUAUAUAAGUGAAUUUUCACUUAUAUAGAUUAAAUAAAACAAAGCAUGUGAUUUGCUAAUAUUAUUUAAAUUCAAAGAAGGUAUAAAUAUUAUAAUUUCUUGUACUUUGAAUACUUGAAAUAAAUAAAUUUUAAGUGAAUAACAGUGUACAGUAAACGGCUUACCAAGUUUAAUCGAAUAUCAGGAUUACAAGGAAAUGUCUCAUCUAAAAGUGAAUGACAGAAUCAUUAAUGUAACAAAAAGUAGAAUAAAGCGAAAUAUAUUUGCAUAUAAUGUAAUAUUUCUCUCUGAAUAAAAAAUAUGAAUGAAAAGAUAUGACAUGAAUUUCGACAGCCAAAUAAAAUAUUUUGUAAUCAUGAUACAUACGAUGUAAUAAUGGCAAAAUAAUUAAUCUUUUUUUAAUCAAAGAAUCAUUAUAAUAUAAGAAAAAUAUUAUAUAAUUCUUACACUGUAUUUUAAUUAAAGUAUAAAUACUUUUUUAAAAUAUUUCAUAUGUAAGUAUCAUAGAUAUGUGGAUAUCUAUAGAAAAAAUCUAUAGAAAUCUAUAGAAUCUAGAAAUCUAUAGAAAAGUGGAUAUCUAUAGAAAAAAGUAUUUAUUUAGUAAUAUUCGUAGAUUUAACUUUAACAUUUUUCAUUAUUACAUUUUCAAUUAUACGUAUUAUUCAUAUUUAAAGCUAUUUUAUAUAAAUUAUUAAUUUUCGUUUAAAAGAAAUUAAGAUUUUGCAAUUUUAGGUGAUUUUUUAGCGAGUAUUUCACUUUAUCCUGUGAUUUUAUUCAAGAAUGAUAUCUCAAUGCCUUUAGAAAAUUGUAUUUUUCUUUGUAAUUGUAUCUUAUUCCCUCAGUUAGUCUUUAUCAGCGAAAAUUCAAAAUUAAUUUUCAAUUUUACUCUACUUUCAUUCGUAUACAUUCCCCAGCAAAAAUCUGGAGAAAAAAAACCAUACAAAAACUGUAUUAUACAAGCCCAUACACAACAGUUUUACAAUAUUUGAAUAAACAAGCUGAACAAAGACCGAUAUAAGACUACAUUAUCAUUAAAAUAAUUUAUUUCUCCUCGCAACAAAAGCAAACAACAUCCCCUCGUAAACGUGAUAUUAUUCAUUCAAUGUCAAUAAAUACGAGACGUUUCGAAACGUUAAAUCAAUCCGCGAGAAUGAGAGGGAUAUUUUGCGAUGAAAUCGGCGCAAUCAAAGCAACUUUAGAUCAUCGUUAUUCCUUAAUAACCCGGAGCUUGUUUAAUAAAUAUUUCCCACGGCGAUAUUCAAGCGGAUGUUGGAUAGGAUUUCCCGCGACCUGAAAUUUCCACCACCAUGUUUCCACCACGAUGAACCGAGUUUUAUAUAUCGCGAGCUCCCUGAUUGCGUGAGCCCGUUAGGCUUCGAUAAAUAUGCAUUCGUCGCCCUCUCUCGUUCUUUUUUCUCUUCUCUUCUUUUUUUUUCUCUCUCUCUCUCCCUCUGCUCCCUCCCUCUGCCUCUGCGAGAGAAGGUUUUGCAACGAGUGUUCCGAGCUGUUGGUGAAUUUUCGCCUUGCAAGGGGAGAACGGYAUARGUUAUUGAUUAUCGUGAAUGGUUUUAUAAAUAACCGAUCGUGUAGGAGCAGCCGCCGGACGACGCGUAAAUAUCGCGCUUGCCGGGGAUGAUUCUUUAAAAUCGCCGCGCGCGCCGCCAUAGAAAAAGGGGGGCGCGAGAUGAAAUCCGGGCCGUGUGUUUGAUCGAUACCCAUCGUAAUUCCUCUUGAAUUCUUAUUUCAUUAAUUCUAAUACUCCACGUGGCGGAUUGCCCYGUGRAGGAUAAAUAGGCAACUGAGUGAGAUAAGGUUUGAACAUUGAUGAUCAAGAUUAAGUUGAUGACAGAAGAAAGAAUUAAUYACAAUGAUUAUUAAUCAAGRUAAAUCGUGAUAGAGAAAAAUCUUGUACAACAUCGGUAAUUGUGUAUACAGUUUUUAAAAAAAUCGAUGAAGGAUCAAGAAGAGAUUGGUUCGUUACGAAUUUUUAGAAUGAUUUUGAGAAUAACAUCAUUCAYAAAUCACUUUGUACAUUUUGUUGGCGAACAAUAACUAAAUUUAAAUAUUAUCGAUCAAUAUUYAUUGAUARAAAAAGUUUUUCUYUUUUUUAUAAAACUUACCUCUGCCAUUUUCUAUCGACARAUUAUUGUGAUAUAUAUAUAUAAUAAUAAUAAAUGUGACAAAAGUGGAUUAAAUAAAAUGUCGUAAAGUGAAAGUCGUGUUARGAGCACGAUAAAAGUAAAUAAACGAUUUAUUGUUCUAAAAUUACACAUAUAAUAAAUAAUCAUGAUCAAUGUAACGUGAUUUCGCGUUAAUUACAAUCUUCAAUCAAAUUAUAUCUUUGUUCUCUAAAGCUCUCUCUAUUUACAAAAUUCUAUUUUGUUUGCUACAACAUCUGGAACAAUACGAAAGGAGGAAAAUUCUCCUCGUAAAAGCUCGAUCUUUGGGAUAAACCGACUGGCCGAUAUUAAAUUCUUUUACGGCCAUGAUUUUUUACUUAUUUCCUCCGUGUUCUGUGUACAUAAAUGGUGUCCAGAGAUGAAAAGCUUUCUUUCUUCCUUUCUUUCUUUCUUUUCUUUUUUUUUUCUUUUUUUCUUUCGUCAGAAGAGAGGCUAAAUGAAUCUUUAAAUUCUAGCUUAAUCGAGAGAGUGAAUAUCAAUUUUUUAUCAAUUAACGGGGACUGAAAGCCGCGAGUGCUUGUCGUUCUGGUAUCCGGGGCUCUUAUUUACGUAACGAGUCGCGCUCUGUUAAAUUUCCUGAGAAAUAAGGGCGUAAACAGUGUCGUGUUUUGCGUCAGUUAAAAUAGCUUUAAUAAGGUAAGUGGCAACUCGAGUGUCUCAUCGGCUGUUCCCGUAUAGAUCAUCGUCGAUUGUACUUGAGCGGAACCAUUUCUGUACCAUUGAUCCUCAUUCGAUCUUCGUAAAAAACAAUUUAAAUGGAAUAAUUAACACGAACACGCACGAGAUAAUCUGAGAACAUGAUGGACAAAAGGUUGGUUAAAGCGGCUUCACUCGAAAAUAUAUCAAAGGAAAUCUGAAUCUGAAUUAAUAAUCUCAAUAAUUACGUAGUGGCAGCGAUCUACGUAGAAACUAGAGAAAUAAUUGAUGUAACGAGAACGUAAAUAUUUAUUGCUGCUGUGAAACGUGUGUAUAUUAUGCAUAUUCGCCCAUAAUAUUUCAUCGCCUUUGUUUCCUUUUCUAUUAAAAAUUUGUUGAAUCGUUUGGUGGCACAGACUAAUUUCCCCUUUUUAGGACACACUGGCUUAUUCUCGUAAUCGGUUUAUCUCUCGGAAUAUCAGGGAGUUAUUUCAAAACAGAGGAGAUAUCAAAUAAAGUAACAAAGAAAAAACUUUUUCUCCCUUGUCCUUCUCUUUAUGAUAGGAAAAUACACGAAAAAAAAAAAGAAAAAAGGAAAGAAAAGGAAGAAUUAUGCGUAAAAUUUGUGCAAAACGAUGUUCUAGAUAGUUGCAAAUAAUUGUUGAAAUUUAAAAUUGCUUAUGUAAUGGAUUACAUUUGAAAUUAUGCAUUUCUGAGCUUAGCUACCGAGUUAAAUUAGAGUUAAAUUCGCGAAGAACUUUAGAAAAGGUUUUUGUAAUAUUCGUAGAUGAAAAUUUCUUGUUCUGAUCUCAUUCUCAGUAAGAUUUAUUUAUUUUUAAACUUGAAUAUUCAUCCCUAGAAAAUUUUUCCUUCUUCAAAAUCGAAAUCGUGAACUCCUCCUAUAAAAAUCUGUAUUUAUAAUUCUAGUUAAGCAAUAUAAAAAUGAUUAUUUUAAUUUGUUUUCCACAUUUUUUGCAUCUUCUUUUUCCCCUCUCUUGAUUACUCGAUAAUCAUUUAUAUCACGUAUAAUAAAAAAAAUAUGAUUGAUAAAAGUUCGAUUCACGAGAUAAAAACGACAGACGAGAUAUUGUUAACAGCUCCUCGAAAUGUUCGCAUUUGUAUAGAAAAAGGUAGACAAUAGAAAGUCAAUGAUUUACCAAACUUGAGAGAUGUGCAGAGGACGUAUAAAUCCGCGUGACAUUUUGUGCUCGAUAAUAAAUGAAAAGAACCAUCCUGUACAAUUUCUUCGUCGAUGGAACUACCCUUGUCAAUUUCCCCUUCCCCAGAGAUGAGAAUUUCCAAUAUCGUUGCUUAUGAAGAUACAGAUUAAUAGUCGAGGUUUUUGAUCAUGUUUCGUCUUUGUAGAAGCCGUGGAUGCUAGCCGCAAUUUCUUUUUUCCGAUUGGCCGCGUUGGAUAUGCAAAUGGCGGUCUACGUAACCUUCCCUCCCUAAUUCAACAAGCGGUCGCAUAAAUUUCACGUAAUGGCAGGCAAUUACAGGAUAAUAGUGCGAUCGUGCCUAACAUUGACUGGUGUGGACAGGUCAUAAAAAUGAAACGCGUAAUUAUAUACGAUUUUGGAAGGGGAGGGAAAGUUUCAACUUUUAUAGAAAAGCUAUACGUGUCGAUCUUUUUUUUUCUUUCUUUUCUAUUUUCGCGCACGCGAGACUUUUUCACCGGGAAUUUUUUCCUCUUGGGUUAAAACUGUUUCACUCGCCAACUUCUUAUCUUGCUUCUAUUUGUAAAAUAAACGUAUACUAGAAAGAGAAAAAAAAGUAUUUGUACAUACUGCUAUUUUAUAAUGACGCGUUUUUUUAUCAUGCUCCAUAUUUUACUUUCAUCGUAUCAAAUUUAAUCAUACGAAAGCGUUAACAAAUAACACUGUACGAGAUUAGAACGUGAAGCUGAGUCUGCGAAAUAAAUCGAAAAUAGAGAAUAAAAUUUCCUCGUUUCCCAUUUUGUAAAUCAAAUUCGAAAAUUUUUCAGACAUGAUCAGACAGAAAUUGAUUAAUUUUCAAAUUCAAUCCUAUAGAAAACUAAUUUCUAAAUGAAGAAAAAAAGUUUAUUCCAUAUUUUCUUGUUUAUCGAUAAAGCAUUUUUUUCACAUAGUUUUUCGACUUACUUUUUCACAUAGAAUCAAUCUUUAUGUAGUACUUUCUACAAUAUUCUGACUUCUUUUAUAUGAUUAUGAUAAAAUUAUAAAUGCUGUAAUAAAUAUAACGAAAAUACUUUUAUAUACAGCUAUAUUACAGGAUGAAUUUUCCAUGUAGUUUGAAAAAGGACUUCACGCUUGCGAAUCAAACUUACUUCACUUGAAGGCAUCGUAUUGAAGUUUGGUUGAAACCAGGUGUUCGAUGGAUAUUCUUUUUAUUCCCUUCUCUCUUUCUUUUCCAUCCACUUUUCUUUCUUUCUUUCUUUUUUUUUUUCAAUAAAACGUAAAUUCAACGCUGCAUCGCGUACAAGAUUGCCCGCCUCUUUACAACGAUAAUCCGCCUGCUUUGGAGUACCAAUCGGCCGUGAUGUAAGCGUAAAAUGAUUAAUUAGAGUGCAGAGAACCGUGGAAGAAGCGCGGGAAACUGUCCGCCUCGUUUGUGGGAGGAGGUUUCCUUUAAUUAAAACGCAUGCAUGCAUCGUUUGCUUUUCCUUUCUCUCUCUUUUUCCCUCCUCUCAUAAUUGUACACAAAUUAAAACGUGUUUUAAAAUUGUCGUUAAUUCCAACUUCUGUUACCUACAUUAAUUGACUAUCUAUUCAUCGUUAAUUAAAUCUUCGUCGUUUCACGCGUUAAAUCGUUAUCGACGUCUCGUUCCCAUCUAUCUGCUUUUUGCCACCUCAUUUCCUGUCAACGAGAUCGUUCCGAUCUGAAUUAGUCGAAUUUCCAUCAAACUUCUUUUUUUCUUCUCUUCUCUUUUUCUUUUUACCUGAUACCGAAAUAAGCGAGAACUGUUUGUUUCAAGAAACGGAGAGAGAGAGAGAGAGAGAAAUGCACUCGACUUUCGACAGACGUGAUGCAUCUCUCUUUUCCCUUCACGCUUCUCUCCGUCAUUGUAAUAACAGAAAAAUCCCUCGCAUCGCCACGACACCUGUCUUCAUCCCCAAAACCAUUCCCCUCGUCCCAAAACCUUGAAAAACAUUCUCUCUUUCGAUGGUUGAAUGAAAUGCUCUGUCCCAGCCGCGCCCUUUAACACGCGAUGCCUUCCAACCCUCGGCCAGAGAGAUAUUUAGAGAAUACACGCCCGUUCCGCACGUUCCGCCACGCUUUAGAGCGCUUUUCCCAAAACGUUGGAAAUUUUCCAGAUGCCGUCCGUCCCAUAAAUUCGCCAUGAAAUUCGUAACGUAAAGGGAAAGGCUCGGGUAUCGAGUUAUAUAUCCAAUAUAUAUAUGGGGACAAUGCUCGAUUCCAAUAUCACCGGGUAACGAGCACGUGGGGAGAGGUAGGGGGAGGGAGAUCACGAGAUCUUAUUAUUCGCAAGUUAUCGUUUCGAAAGUACAGAUUUUGCAGGCGAUAUAUUCAAAAUUUUGCAAGGUAAACCUAUGUUCGUGGAACAGAUUGUACGAGGAGGGUCCAUUCACGCACGGGUUACGAUAAUAGUAUGGAAAAUUGGCCGAGUGAAUAUCGGUGUGGGGAAGGGGGGGGAGGGACCGUUGGGAAAAAUCGAUGGGAUCUGGGAAGAAAGGGCGACAGUGUUGGGACGAAAAUGUUGCGGACACACUCGAUUUGCCAUUAUCCCGCCACGAGGAGAAAAUGUCACGCUUCGUGCUCCCUCCGUUAUUGACGCGAAAACCGUUCUUAAUCGCGAAUUUAACUUGUAGGAGGGGGCGAAUACCAAUCGUCGUUCCAUUUCCGUAAGUGCUUAAUCGGUCGGAAAUGAAUCGCGAUAUUCAAUCUGUAUCGUGAUACUGGAUACCCUGGAAAUAUAUAAGUCCAAAGUAUACUUUGAAUACGUGGAAGGAAUCGAUUGUCUUGUUCGCUAAAAAUUACUAUGAAUUUUAAAAUAAACUAUGGAUCGGUCUCGGUGGAAUUCAGGAAGUUCCUUUCAAAUUGAAACAGAAAGAGAGAGAGAGGAAAGGGUAUAUUCGGAAUGUCAGUUGUACCGGUAUUGCACGUUGUAGAUUAAUUUUGAUACGUUGCGAAAAAUAUUGAAGUGAUGGAGAGGGAUGAUGGAUUAGGUUUUAUUGGAUCUAUCUCAUGGCGUUUCAUAGAAUAUAUAGUGGAUGGAUGUACAGGAAAUUAAAAAUAAAUGAUAAAAAUGUAUCUGUUACAUUUCAUUUUUGACAGGAGAAAGAUUAUUAAGAUGAUAUUUGUAAUUUAACGAGUGUAAGGUUGGAUUUGUAAAAUUUAUAAAACAAGAUAUGCUGAAUAUUCGAACAUACAUAUAUAUGUAUUAUUCAUUACAUUUAAUUGAUUUUAACUUUAAUAAUGGUAAUUUUUUGGUAUGGAGUCGGUAUUUUAUACCGAAUUAAUUUCUGCAUUUACAUCGAUGAUAUUCCAUAUUUUAAUUGAAUUUAGAAGAAAAGAAUAUAUUACAUUUCACAAAAUUAAAAAGGUGAAUUAUUCACCAGUGAUUAAAGAAGAAGAAUUGCUGUAUAACGCUUCUUUGAAAAAUAUUCUGCUUCUUUAAUUGCUACAAUGAGAAACAAAUUGUUCUUACUUCUUCCUGUAAAUUUUCUUUUAGACAUUCAAUUAUUUUUUAUAUUAAUAAUUUUGUUAAAUAUAUAUAUUAUUAUUAAUUAUUUAAUCUUCUAUUUUUAUCAUUUCAGACAAAUGGUUAAUUGUAUACUUUAAUGUAUAAUUAUCUACUAUCUCAUAACAAAUGUAACAUCAUUUUUGAAAUCAUCUUAUUUUUUAAACAUUAUUCUUAUUUCAAUAAACGAGUAUUAAAAUAUUUUUAUUAGACAAAGAGAAGAUAAACAAUAGAGCAAGUAUAAUAAUUUCUUUCUAAUGAUAUAUUAAUUGGCAAGCAUGUACCAUUAAAAUUUAAUGUAUUCGUAUUUCAACAUUUUUGAGAAAUAUCUUAUACCUGUAUUUAUGUAUUAUAUAAAGAACGUGCGACAAAAAAAAAAUAAUUACAAGAUUAUAACGCACAAUGUAUUUCUCUUAGUUGAUGGAGUUGAUUGGAAAUUUCCUACCAGAAUCAGUAUCUGACAGCGGCAAUAAUAGCCUCGAUAAUAGACUGCGUUUUAUUUUUCAAUUACUUGGAGAAGAUACCAGAGAUUGUAUCGUAAGUUUCAGACAUAAUAAACUUGAGGAAAAAAAAAGAAAACGAACAAGUUGCCUUGUAAUAUUUGUGAUAGAAAAUUUCAACUAGGGAAUUGUUUUAAAAGAUAGAACAUCGUAAAACCAGAGACCAGGAUUCAGGAGCCAUUUUUAACAGAAGGUGUAACGUGUAAGGCGAAACGUGUAAAUAUAUAUAGACAAUUUUUUAAUCUUUUUUUUUUUUACACGAUUUGAAAUUCUCCAUAUUGUAAAAACUUAGAAUAAUUAUUUAGCGAUUAAAUAUCGGAUAGAUUUAUCAUUAAAUCUUUUUAAAAUUAAGAAACUUUCUCUCUAUACUCUUAGCAAUAUUUACCAAGAGUCUAGAAUACAUAAAAUUCCAGAGAGAAUUAUAGAAAUUAUAGAAAUUCAAAUAAUUUAUUAUAAAAAGAAUCGUGUAAAACACCAUCAAAAUAUGCGAUAAUAAAUAAAUCUUCUUUAAUCAUCAUCUCACCAUACAUUUCACUCACAAUUUUUCUAAAAAAUUCUGUCCAUUAACUGUGAAGUUGAUAAAACGCAAAUGUUAAACAACCCUCAGAGAGUGAAAAGCUUUAAUCCAAUAUCACGACGCGUUAACGGAGCACAUAACGAAGCCGACGAAUUACAGUUGAAAUACGGGUUUCAGGAUGGAAAAAUUCCAUCCUGAGUGGUUGCAGCCAUCAAGGCGCUUAUCUACCGACGAACAGCCGUAGUUUACUUUACGUAUGUUAAGGAAACAUUAAUUUGGCCGCAAAAGUUUGCAUUGCAUCGGUGUUCCGCAACGUAUCCGAGUUGUCGGGCACGGUUAACCUGUGUAUACGUCACGUUUGUCCCUUGCGAUCCUCCUCUCCCCCUCCUCCUCGCAUCCGUGGUUACCGUCUCUCGAUGAGGGCGUGGGUUUCGUUAGUUUCUUGCAACAGCCGGCGCGGAACGCGUUAGUGGUUCGACGUUACGAGAUUAUAACGACGUAUACACGGAAAUUUCUGGAGAAAUUUCUCGAUACCAUUAAACGCGAGAACUCUCCGUUAACUUAAAUAUCGAACUUUCCAACGAUGAUAACUCGUCGCUUUAACCCGAUCAACACACACACACACACACACGCACGCGCGCGCUUACGCACGAGUGACGAGCUCAUGUCCUCCCCUGUUUAACUUGCUCCUUGCUGUUUUCGUUUGUGUGCCUACGCCAAUUUCAUUCAUUAGUCCUAAAAUCGUCGAGUUUAUGAUUGCCAAACGGUUGUUGAUCCCGGAAAUAGUCAGGAAGGUUGAUUUUCAUCCGUGUUUGCCCAACAAGUUGACACAACACGUUCUCCGAGGUAUCAACCCUCGGUUAACCGAGUUUAUUUAACGUUUUGACGAAUUACGUUUGAGAAAUUAGAUUUAGAUCUCUUUCUGUUGCUUUUAUCCUCCAAAUUAAUCCUUCUGUUUACCGGAAUACAAAGGGAUUGAGCAGGGAAUGAUGUUAAAUACUCGAGAACAAGAUCUUUCUUGCAGAGUUUAGAGUUUUUCUCACUUUGAAUGUAGUCAUCUCGAGUGCAGAAAAGUGAAAAGUGAAGGUAAAGAUUACUUUCAUCUGCAUUUCGUUCAAAGAAUAUGUAAAAUGCUGUAAAAUAAAGUUGAUCUUUAUUUUUAAUAUAAAAUGAAAUGUUUGGUUUAUUUGUAAUAACAAUAAAACGACAAGUUAAACGAAGUUUCGGUUUAGUUUUUUGAUGUGCAUCUCGGAUGAUCGUUCAUAAAAGUACAAAGAUUAUUUUUAAUGAACAGGAUGAAUGAUUUUUCUAUAUAAUAGAAAAGUUUUUUUAUAUGGAAAGAUGAAUCUGGAAAUUAUGAGCGAAAUAAGAAAUCUGAAAAUGAUCGUAAAGCAAACACCCAUAAAAAGUUAGAUUUAUUUUAAAUGAUACAAAAGCCAAAACAAAAACAAUUCGAAUUAGCUGACAUUUUGAGAAUUAGGGAAUUGAAUUCAAUUAUUGAACAAGUGUAAACAUUCGAGCUUUCAUUGAAUAUUCAUGAAUCAAUUAAUGAAUUAAUUUUAUUCUUUGAAUCGCAAUGAAUACCCAAAAUGAAAUAUAAGUGAAUAGUUAUUCAAACAACAAAGUUGAAAAUAUCUUUUGAAUUUGAAUGAUGAGCAUUUUAAUUAAAUAUAUUGAAUUAUAAGUAUCAUUUUUCUGUUGAAGUUAAGUUAACUCAAUUUCAACGUUUGCUAUUCCUGCUAAUAUUUUGAGAAUCAAAGAAUCUAAUUGAACCAUCGAACAGAAGAAGAAAGGAAAAAAGGAAAAAUUUUUUUUCAAAUUCAAAGCGAAUGAAUCAUCCACGACGACUGUCAAAAAUCUAAAAAAGCGUAAAAUUUGCCUGAAAUACUCGAGAUUUCUCUGUGUAUACGGGAUCAUGGAAAGUGAAAAAGUGUAAAUUUGGCUUAAGGAUUCACGAAGCUUCUCGUUUAAAAUGGGCAUUGAAUUUUAAUAACUCGCUUCUCUUACGAGUUUCAUCCUCUUACUCGAAAAUCGAGGUGAAAGGAUCAUUCACGAUUCGCUUUAACUUUGCUUUAAAUUUGUUCCGAAACCGACGUCGUUCGACGCUUCUAUUUUCGAAACACUUCCGACGAGCGAGCCGGCUCCGUCUUGGUUACUCCUUUCCCUUACACCUGGCGGGUCAAAGUUAAAUCGCGCCUAACCCUUCCAACUACGGCUGUUUGUAAAUCGACGCUUUGAACUUGAGACGUCGCCCACCCCGUCGCCAACGAUAGCUAAAGCCCUUUAUGUAAUUAGAGAGAAAGAGAGAGAGAGAGAACGAUAGCCUCCGUAUCCUUGACACGAGCUCUUUUAAAACUUUCGCUUGUCUUUUGAUCAUUAUUAUCCGAAGAUGUACAAAUUUUUCAAAUUUUCCUCCUAUUUUCCUUUAGUUUCGUCAUUUCUUAUCAAUUAUGAUCGCCAUCUCGAUUGUUUAAAGGAAAAGGAAUAUGAGGAUAAAUAUUUUAAUGAUAAUAUCGUUUUAAUUAUUUUUAACGAGCUUUAAAGAUACAUAUAUAUAGUAUAAUUGGAUAGUUUUGAUAAUAAAUAAAUGAAUAAAUAAAUAAUUUAUGAAAUAAAAUUGUAAUUUAAAUUAAAUUAGUAUGAAUUAAAAAAUCAUAGCUGAUGAAAGAAAUUUAUAUAAUUUUCUUUUCAACGUGCAAAUGUUGAGUUUUGCUAAUUCUUCAUCUUACUUCUUAAAUUUCAAUUAAAAAAUACGAUAUUGUGUCAUGGAAUUGUUAUUAUUAUAAUUUAGCUUCUUUGAAAAUUAUAAAAUGAACAAUAAGAAGAGUAAAUUUCAUUUAAAUAUAUACGCGAAGAAACUUUGCAUAAAUUUUAAUUGUAUAAACAUAGGACGUCCAUUAAAUCUUAAUGACAACUUGCAAUCUUCAAUUUACUUAUAUUUAUCAUUGUUAAAGAUCUCAUUGUUAUGUAUGUAUAAAUCACAAUUCUUAACGUUUCAUAUUUCUUCCUUGUCUCAUAUUUCUAUCUUCAUUCAUAUUAGCUUAGAUUUCUAUUAUUUUUCUUGCGUUCAACUUUCAUUGUUACCAAUAAAAAACCGACAUGUAAAUAUCUCGUUACCUCUUGAAAUGUGUGGCACAGAUGAAUGCCAUUAAAUUUUGCGUAUCUCUCGUAUUUUUUUGACAUUUCAAAAUGACCUCGAUUUUUUGCACGAUCAAUAGAUCUCUUUUUUUUAAUACAGCACGAAAAGUCGAAAAAUUCCAUAAUAAAUUGAUUUUCAAAUUAAAAUCUUGAUCCACAAACUGGAAUAAAAUAUUUAAUAUAUUUUUUUACAAAAAAUUUAAUCCAAUAGUUCCCUUUCCAAUCCUGGUAUCAAAUUCCGUUUAUCUAAAUCAAUUUUGAUACAAUCGAGAGAUAACGAAUUAAUAAUAAUCGUUAUUUUUCUAUCGAUUUUAUUUUAACGCGUAAUUUCGAAUUUAACUCGUAAAUUCGAAAGUUCGAAGUUUUCGCGCCAUUAUGAAAAUAUUUUCCUCGCAGAAUUAUAGAAUUUCGAAAUUUUGGCUCGCAUGCCCGCGAGAUUACGAGGUCGCUCUGUAAAAUUAAUGGCGUGGAAAUUAAUUAUUUCGCUCAUCUCGGUGAUAAAUGUCGUUUUAAACACGAAUUCCUGAACGCGUGCCGGCACGCCACAACCUUCUUCGGCGUUUCCCUUUCUUCCCCAGGUUGCCUCACUUUCGGCAAUCGUACAAUCGACGCUGCAUCGAAUUUUCAUCCAAAAAUGGGAACAGCCGCGAAACAGGUCGAUCCUUUGCUGAAAAUUAAAUUGUAUUCACGUAAUAUUGUUUUUGCAGAGAGGCGGGAAAGCUACUCACUUUUGGCAACAAAAUCGCCGAUUUAUUUCGCUAUACUGAUUUUCCCAGAAAAAGUUUCGUUUAUGCGGAGAAAAUGUCUCGUUACGUUUCACUCUGCAUAAAUUGAUAUUAAGUUGAGAUUAAAUUUGACUGGUCUUGGUUAAUUUUGUUCCUCUGUUUGUUCUCCAUUCUUUGUAAACACUAAAUACAUUAUUAAUUAUUGUAUAAUAAUUAUUAAUUAAUGAUUUCAGUAAGUCUUAUAUUUAAUAAAACAACUUUGAAUUUUUUUUAAACUGCUUUUUUACAAUAGAAAUAAUAUAAUCUUAUAAUUUUGUUUCUGAAAAACAGUUAAACAAUAUAAUUUAAUCAUUGAUACGUAUAAUAUAGUAUUAAUUUCACAUAGAAUUAUUGACUCAAUUUGUAAAAAUUGUUAGUUUAUUAAAUUAUUCUUUGGUAAAUGAUAAUCGAUAAAGCAACUAACAAUAUACAUAAAAUAAAACUGAUUCUAGGUCAAAUAAAUCUGAACAAAAUUAAUAUUUCAUUGGAAAGGAAUAUACGGAGGAAUAAAAAUUUUCUAAUUAUCUUUACUUUUCUUGUCUUUUAUCGAAUGAAUAGAAUGGCAAGAUUAAAAGUAUUUCGCUAGAAAAAAGAGAUAUAAGAUUGACAAGAAUUUUCUAAUUGCCUUUAUUCCUCUGUCUUUGAUUCGCUUUAUUUCAACCCUUUACGUGAACGUGUCUAUGCACUUGAGACUGAAUUUCUCUACUCCGGCAAUGUUUUAUCUGUUAAACUAUCCAAGAAAGGUUUCGUUCACGCGAAAUUACUUCGUUUCCUUGAUAAUACUAUGAAUUUUUAUCUUUCCAAGGUGAAUCGUUCAUUCAUCGAAAUUUAUUCCACACUUUAUGAUCGCGGUGGAUGCAUAAAUGGAUAGAUGGAAUAGAGACAAUGCGUAUUCUAGAGACUAUGAAAAUAAAAACAAGAAAAAAAAAGAAAAGUUGCGAGAUGAAAUUGAAACAUCGUAUAACCGUAAUAGUAUGCCUCAAAAUGGGAAACCAUUUUGUUGAUUAUUCCAUUUUUCGAAAUGGCCACCUUCGCGAUUCUCCUCCGUUUUAUAUCCUUUUUUUUUUUCUUUCUUCCGUUCCUUGAAUUAGUAACGAUCGAUGAAACGUUUGAAAAAAUUCGAGAAGGGGAUCCGAGAUCUUUAGAACAGUUGUUCGUUCGAGAUGAGCUUCGAAAGAAUGAAGAGGCGGAUUUAUUCGUGCGAAUAAUUAUUAUACGUUAACGAAGAAAUGGGAAGAAGCUCGUGGAUAGAUAGGAAUGUUUUAACGGAUGAGAUAUAUUAAAGAA
rnacentral:sRNA from 1 species